rnacentral:misc_RNA from 1 species
GAUGAAGAACGUAGCGAAAUGCGAUACGUAAUGUGAAUUGCAAAUUCAGUGAAUCAUCGAGUCUUUGAACGCACAUUGCGCCCCCUGGUAUUCCGGGGGGCAUGUCUGUCCGAGCGUCAUUGCUGCCCUCAAGCACGGCUUGUGUGUUGGGCCCCGUCCUCCGAUCCCGGGGGACGGGCCCGAAAGGCAGCGGCGGCACCGCGUCCGGUCCUCGAGCGUAUGGGGCUUUGUCACCCGCUCUGUAGGCCCGGCCGGCGCUUGCCGAUCAACCCAAAUUUUUAUCCAGGUUGACCUCGGAUCAGGUAGGGAUACCCGCUGAACUUAAGCAUAUCAAUAAGCGGAGGA